rnacentral:rRNA from 1 species
UACGUAGGGUGCAAGCGUUGUCCGGAUUUAUUGGGCGUAAAGAGCUCGUAGGCGGUCUGUCGCGUCGGAUGUGAAAACCCAGGGCUCAACCCUGGGCCUGCAUUCGAUACGGGCGAGCUAGAGUUCGGCAGGGGAGACUGGAAUUCCUGGUGUAGCGGUGGAAUGCGCAGAUAUCAGGAGGAACACCGGUGGCGAAGGCGGGUCUCUGGGCCGAUACUGACACUGAGAGGCGAAAGCGUGGGGAGCGAACAGG